rnacentral:rRNA from 1 species
GACGAACGCUGGCGGCGUGCUUAACACAUGCAAGUCGAACGGAAAGGCCCUGCUUUUGUGGGGUGCUCGAGUGGCGAACGGGUGAGUAACACGUGAGUAACCUGCCCUUGACUUUGGGAUAACUUCAGGAAACUGGGGCUAAUACCGGAUAGGAGCUCCUGCUGCAUGGUGGGGGUUGGAAAGUUUCGGCGGUUGGGGAUGGACUCGCGGCUUAUCCGCUUGUUGGUGGGGUAGUGGCUUACCAAGGCUUUGACGGGUAGCCGGCCUGAGAGGGUGACCGGCCACAUUGGGACUGAGAUACGGCCCAGACUCCUACGGGAGGCAGCAGUGGGGAAUAUUGCACAAUGGGCGGAAGCCUGAUGCAGCAGCGCCGCGUGCGGGAUGACGGCCUUCGGGUUGUAAACCGCUUUCGCCUGUGACGAAGCGUGAGUGACGGUAAUGGGUAAAGAAGCACCGGCUAACUACGUG